UACGUAGGGUGCAAGCGUUGUCCGGAAUUAUUGGGCGUAAAGAGCUCGUAGGCGGUUUGUCGCGUCGUCCGUGAAAACUCACAGCUUAACUGUGAGCUUGCGGUCGAUACGGGCAGGCUAGAGUUCGGUAGGGGAGACUGGAAUUCCUGGUGUAGCGGUGAAAUGCGCAGAUAUCAGGAGGAACACCGGUGGCGAAGGCGGUUAGCUGGGCAGUUGCUGACACUGAGGCGCGACAGCGUGGGGAGCAAACAGG
rnacentral:rRNA from 1 species